AGUGACGUACGGGUGCGUAACACGUAUGCAACCUACCCUUUACAGGAGGAUAGCUCGGGGAAACUCGAAUUAAGCCUUCAUAGUAUAAUUGGAUGGCAUCAUUUGAUUAUUAAAACUGAGGUGGUAAAGGAUGGGCAUGCGUCUGAUUAGUUAGUUGGCGGGGUAACGGCCCACCAAGACGAUGAUCAGUAGGGGAACUGAGAGGUUGAUCCCCCACACUGGCACUGAGAUACGGGCCAGACUCCUACGGGAGGCAGCAGUAGGGAAUAUUGGUCAAUGGAUGGAAGUCUGAACCAGCCAUGCCGCGUGCAGGAAGACGGCCUUCUGGGUUGUAAACUGCUUUUGCCAGGGGCUAAAAAGCUCAUGCGUGAGAAAUUGAAAGUACCUGGUGAAUAAGCCACGGCUAACUACGUGCCAGCAGCCGCGGUAAUACGUAGGUGGCAAGCGUUGUCCGGAUUUAUUGGGUUUAAAGGGUGCGUAGGCGGCUUUGUAAGUCAGUGGUGAAAUAUGGCAGCUCAACUGUCAGGGUGCCAUUGAUACUGCGGAGCUUGAGUACAGAUGAGGUAGGCGGAAUUGACGGUGUAGCGGUGAAAUGCUUAGAUAUCGUCAAGAACACCGAUAGCGAAGGCAGCUUACUAGGCUGUAACUGACGCUGAGGCACGAAAGUGUGGGGAUCAAACAGGAUUAGAUACCCUGGUAGUCCACACUGU
rnacentral:rRNA from 1 species